rnacentral:rRNA from 1 species
GACGAACGCUGGCGGCGUGCUUAACACAUGCAAGUCGAACGGAAAGGCCCUGCUUUUGUGGGGUGCUCGAGUGGCGAACGGGUGAGUAACACGUGAGUAACCUGCCCUUGACUUUGGUAUAACUUCAGGAAACUUGGGCUAAUACCGGAUAGGAGCUCCUGCUGCAUGGUGGGGGUUGGAAAGUUUCGGCGGUUGGGGAUGUACUCGCGGCUUAUCAGCUUGUUGGUGGGGUAGUGGCUUACCAAGGCUUUGACGGGUAGCCGGCCUGAGAGGGUGACCGGCCACAUUGGGACUGAGAUACGGCCCAGACUCCUACGGGAGGCAGCAGUGGGGAAUAUUGCACAAUGGGCGGAAGCCUGAUGCAGCAACGCAGCGUGCGGGAUGACGGCCUUCGGGUUGUAAACCGCUUUCGCCUGUGACGAAGCGUGAGUGACGGUAAUGGGUAAAGAAGCACCGGCUAACUACGUG